ACGUUUUAUUAUCAAAGAAAUAUCAAUUUGAGCCUGAAUUUUAAAUCAAAUUUGCAUGUUUCGGUUCCAUUUUCUUUUAGGUUUCCUUUUAAGAAUCAGACGCAAGACACAUACAUUUUAUUCUAUUCAAGAUUGGAUUUUUGGAAUUCCAAAUAAGGUACUUAAGGUGUUGGAAAUCUAUGUUGUAUGCAGCAAUAAGUUUACUAAAUUAAUUAAGGAAAUUAGUACCUUGUUACGGAUGCAUAAGAACUGAUUGGGCUUUGAGCGUACGUGCUAUGAUAUACACAUUGUUACCAUAAAAAACACAAUAGAACCGGAGUAUUGAAA